AGCCCCAUAGUGUAGCUGGUCAAUCAUAGCGGAUUUUGGAUCCGUUGACGGCGGUUCGAAUCCGCCUGGGGCUA
rnacentral:tRNA from 1 species